GCAGCCGCCGCGGUAAUACGUAGGGUGCAAGCGUUAAUCGGAAUUACUGGGCGUAAAGCGUGCGCAGGCGGUUAUAUAAGACAGAUGUGAAAUCCCCGGGCUCAACCUGGGAACUGCAUUUGUGACUGUAUAGCUAGAGUACGGCAGAGGGGGAUGGAAUUCCGCGUGUAGCAGUGAAAUGCGUAGAUAUGCGGAGGAACACCGAUGGCGAAGGCAAUCCCCUGGGCCUGUACUGACGCUCAUGCACGAAAGCGUGGGGAGCAAACAGGAUUAGAUACCCCGGUAGUCCCUGUCUCUUAUAA
rnacentral:rRNA from 1 species